AUUGAACGCUGGCGGCAUGCCUAACACAUGCAAGUCGAACGGCAGCACAGUAAAGAUUUCGGUCUUUAUGGGUGGCGAGUGGCGGACGGGUGAGUAAUGCGUAGGAAUCUGUCCUGGAGAGUGGGAUAACCCGAGGAAACUCGGGCUAAUACUGCAUGAUAUCGAGAGAUCAAAGGCAGGGGACCCUUCGGGGCCUUGCGCUCUAGGCUGAGCCUACGUCGGAUUAGCUAGUUGGUGGGGUAAAGGCCUACCAAGGCGACGAUCCGUAGCUGGUCUGAGAGGAUGACCAGCCACACUGGGACUGAGACACGGCCCAGACUCCUACGGGAGGCAGCAGUGGGGAAUCUUGGACAAUGGGGGAAACCCUGAUCCAGCGAUGCCGCGUGUGUGAAGAGGGCCUUCGGGUUGUAAAGCACUUUAGUUGGGGAAGAAAAGUAAUGAGUGAAUAACUGAUUGCUCUGACGGUACCCAAAGAAUAAGCACCGGCUAACUCUGUGCCAGCCGCCGCGGUAA
rnacentral:rRNA from 1 species